AACGAACGCUGGCGGCGCGUCUUAAGCAUGCAAGUCGAACGGCAAGAUUGGUGCUUGCACCGAUCCUAGAGUGGCUGACUGGUGAGUAACGCGUGGGUGACGUACCCUAAGGAUGGGGAUAGCUGGUAGAAAUACCAGAUAAUACCGAAUAUCCUUAUUGUUGUUAGAGGACAGUAAGGAAAGGAGCUUUGGCUUAGCCUAAGGAUCGGUCCGCGUACUAUUAGCUAGUUGGUGAGGUAACGGCUCACCAAGGCGACGAUAGUUAUCCGGCCUAAGAGGGUGAACGGACACAUUGGGACUGAGAUACGGCCCAGACUCCUACGGGAGGCAGCAGCUAAGAAUAUUCCGCAAUGGAGGAAACUCUGACGGAGCGACGCCGCGUGAUGAUGAAGGCCGGAAGGUUGUAAAAUCCUUUUAAGCAAGAAGAAUAAACUUUACAGGGAAUGGUAGAGUGGUGACGGUAUUGCUUGAAUAAGCAACGGCUAAUUACGUGCCAGCCGCCGCAGUAAUAC
rnacentral:rRNA from 1 species